UCGUCACACUAUCAUUAACUGAAUCCAUAGGUUAAUGAGGCGAACCGGGGGAACUGAAACAUCUAAGUACCCCGAGGAAAAGAAAUCAACCGAGAUUCCCCCAGUAGCGGCGAGCGAACGGGGAGGAGCCCAGAGCCUGAAUCAGCAUGUGUGUUAGUGGAAGCGUCUGGAAAGGCGCGCGAUACAGGGUGACAGCCCCGUACACAAAAGCGCAUGUGCUGUGAGCUCGAUGAGUAGGGCGGGACACGUGGUAUCCUGUCUGAAUAUGGGGGGACCAUCCUCCAAGGCUAAAUACUCCUGACUGACCGAUAGUGAACCAGUACCGUGAGGGAAAGGCGAAAAGAACCCCGGCGAGGGGAGUGAAAAAGAACCUGAAACCGUGUACGUACAAGCAGUGGGAGCACCCUUUGGGUGUGACUGCGUACCUUUUGUAUAAUGGGUCAGCGACUUAUAUUCUGUAGCAAGGUUAACCGAAUAGGGGAGCCGGAGGGAAACCGAG
rnacentral:rRNA from 1 species